ensembl:lncRNA
CAAGAGAGGAACCUGCUCUUCCGGGAGGUCCUGAGGGACGCACCUAUAUUCCAUGUGCCCUUCGUGUUACCCUCAUGGACUCAGUUCACUCAUCUCUGGGAUCCGAGCAACCAGGCUAUCAUCCUCAGACCAAUGGCUAAACAGAACACAAGAAUCAGGAAAUAGGACGUUACCUGCAGUCAUACUGUCACAAUCAUCAACACAGCUGGAACCGUUUCCUACCAUGGGUGGAGAAUGCACAAAACUCCCUUCGACAAACCACCAUGGGGCUCACUCCUUUUCAGUGCAUACUCAACUAUCAGCUGCCCCUGUAUCCCUGCUCAGGACCUGGUUUUACAGAGGUACUUCCUUCUCUGGUAGAAGCAGAAGACAAUCAAAUCUACACUGUCCAAUCCAUCUUAGUCUCCCAGUAAUGAGGUAAUCACUUAGAAUAUCUCGUGGACUGAAUAGGAUAUGGGCCCGAAGAAAGAUUAUGGAUUCCCCACGAUGACAUUCUGGAUCCCACUUUACUCACCAAAUUCCAUAACAACCAUCUGAAAUGUCCAGCACCCUGAGGCAGAGGUCAUCCUCAUUGCCGGGUUCGGACAUCUGGAGCUGCCCGUGGUGGGGGAGGUACUGUCACAGAUUCAGCCAGCAUACCAUCAACUCCAAGUCCUUCAGCUCCACAUACCCUUUCACAAUCACCUGAGUAUUAACCUGCCACACCUGUCACAUCCUAAUCAAGAACCCCUCAUAAGCACACCGCUUUCACUUACCUGUUGUCCAGUCUUGUCAGCCUUAGUGUGAGAGUUUAUUUAACUGACUUCCUUCAUGGUUAGUCCUCUACUUAAGCGUCUUCCGAAUCACGGGUUCCAGCCAUCCGGGGUUCUCCUGUGCUCUCCAUGCUUCAUCCCACAAAAAGGGAAAGGCUCUUCAGUUAAGUGUGAUUAUCCUUAUUGAACUGUUUGUGCCAUUCACUUACCUGCUGAAGGCUAUAAAAAGGACUGCUGAUGCCAUAUACUUACC